rnacentral:lncRNA from 1 species
AAAUACUCAUCUAUAAUGUUUUUAUGUAUGUAGGCUUAUAUAUAUGUUUGUAUUUAAGCUCCUUGAAACGAGUACUUGGGAGUGUUGCUGUGAGCUGGACACGGAACAAACUAUGUGUGACUGUACUAAAUUUGUCUGCGGUUUUGAACUCUGCUGGGUCAUCUUGUCAAAACACAACUUCGAGCUCUGAAAUAAAUGAACAGCAGAGAAACAAACACACCGGAUUAAAACACUCUCCCAGUGUUGUCAGAUAAUUACCAAAAAAAAAAGUGCCUACACUGGAAAUAUCAAUAACUGUAACGUGUGAGAUUUGUUAAAACACGCAAACUCGCUCUCCACUGACUGUCACUAAUAUUUAUUCGUCCAGUGACUGUUAAUCACACCAAGUUUACAGUCCCGUAUAGCACCUGUCACAGGUGUUGAUCAUUAAUCAGCUAUUACAGCAGUUUAUUCUGCUGCUGACAACUUGCAAUUUUCUACUGAUUCAGCUAGUUUGUCAGGUGGGAAUUAUGGCAUAGCACAUGUGACAAAACACAUCACACAUUUCUCUCUCCCUCUCCCUCUCUCCCUCUCUCUCCCCCUCUUCCCUCUCUCUCNGCAGCAUUUCUUUUACUAUCCUCUGGCGGCUUCUCAUUUUCUUGUGGUAUAAUUACCCCGUGAGAAUCACAUAAAACUUCAAAUACAAUGAUGGUAAAAGCAACGUGUAUCAGAAAAGAGAGGGACCGCAGUUAAAAGCUAGGGCUAGGACUUGGAGGAUGUGUAGGCAAACGGAAGGAGAGCCGGGGGAAGAAAAGCCGAAAUGGAUUCAUUCUCCGUCCUGGCUGGAGGAGGAGAGGAGCGGGGAAGUGCGGGCUGCCUGCAGCUGCCUCUGUCCGGUGAGAAGUGCUCGCAGCCCCGCGGCUGACUCGGGCUCAGGAGUCCGCGCGGACUUUCGCUCUAAGCUGCCAAUCAAACCGCUAACCGCCACCACCCUGCGCUGGCACCGACAUGCGUGUGUGACCUGUUGCUGGAAGGGGAGAUACAAAGGCUUCCCAGUGGCUGCCUGGGCCGGCCCUGGGCCCGCCCCCCCCGCCGCGCCGUCCCGGCGGCUGAGAGCCCCCGCCCCGUUUCAUGCAAAACCAGGGGUAGAGACUUGUCCUCAGUGGCGGAGCCGCCGAGCGCUGAUUGGCCGGGGCGAACGCAUUUAUUCCCUGACAAGCCCCCAUCACAUGGAUGGUUGUCUAUUAACUUGUUCAAAAAAGUAUCAGGAGUUGUCAAGGCAGAGAGAGAGAGUGUGUGUGUUUGCAAAAGGGGGUAAAGUAGUUUGCUGGCUCUUUAAGACCGAGGUGGAGAGAGAGAGAGAGGGAGAGAGAGAGGGCGGCAGGCAGAGAAAAGGGAAAAAGGAGGAAGAAGUUUUUUAAAUCCGAGGCUCCGGCGGUAAUAAUAGCAGUUAUUAGCAUUAUUAAUCCAUCAGCGAAGAGGAAGAUUCUGAUCUCGAUCCAAGUGUGGUUUUGGGGAGUCCCCCUCCCCCCUUUCAUACCCCUCCCUAGGAAAAAAAAAAAAGUCCGGCUUGGGACUUCGCCGCCGCCGCUCCGCUUCUCCGCUCCGGGCUGGU